GUACUAGUAGCUUAAUGGUAAAGCACCACACUGUGAAUGUGGAAGAUGUGAGUUCAAUUCUCACCUAGCACCCCA
rnacentral:tRNA from 1 species